GGCAGUGAAAAUAUCGGACGUAUCCCAUACAAAAAAAUAUAGAUGCAUCUCCACCAGUCGUUUGAUCUUCCGGAUGAUGGUGAGGCUGCAGUGGUCGCACCCCACAGAUUCCUUAGCAGUGCGUCUUUGGAGGCUAGAGCUCCUGUUGCGUGCCCACCGCUGACCUAUGCAAGCUCCUCAUGUUCGCACCGGGAGAGAUUUGAAGCCAUGAUUGCCGAACGCUGAGCUGCGGCCGCCAUGCCGCUCCCUCCAGUGCCAGUGGCCGAGCCGCAUGCUUACCCCUACUCCCGUGCCUGCCGAGCAGGUCAAGGGGAAGGGAAAUUAUAACUCCACGAGAGCUUUCGAUCUGCUGUGCUCUAGGAGGAAGAAGACUCCAUGCUGAGAGGCAUCGAAAUUUUAUGAUGUUGCUGUUGGUAUUUUGAGAUGUUAGGAGUUUUGGUUGAGGUUGAACUAGAUGAUUUUUUAUGUUGCAAGAUUAAUUUUGAAAUGUCCAGUUCUAUUCGAUUUUCCGAUGUAUUGUGUGAUUUGAGAUGUUAGCAUUAGUGUUUGCUAAUGUGUAGAAAUCAAAUUGAAAUGUUACAACCUUUUUACUUAUAUCGGAAUAAAUUGGAAUAAGUGAUAUGUUGC